UACGAAGGGGGCUAGCGUUGCUCGGAAUCACUGGGCGUAAAGGGCGCGUAGGCGGCUUGACAAGUCACUUGUGAAAUCUCCGGGCUUAACUCGGAACGGCCAAGUGAAACUGUCAUGCUAGAGUGCAGAAGGGGCAAUCGGAAUUCUUGGUGUAGCGGUGAAAUGCGUAGAUAUCAAGAGGAACACCUGAGGUGAAGACGGGUUGCUGGGCUGACACUGACGCUGAGACGCGAAAGCGUGGGGAGCGAACAGG
rnacentral:rRNA from 1 species